rnacentral:rRNA from 1 species
GCUUGUCUCAAAGAUUAAGCCAUGCAUGUCUAAGUAUAAGCCUUUAUAUGGUGAGACUGCGAAUGGCUCAUUAAAUCAGAAACUGUUUAUUUGAUAGUGCCUACUACAUGGAUACCUGUAGUAAUUCUAGAGCUAAUACAUGCAAAAAGCCUGGACUUCUGGAACAGGCGUAUUUAUUAGAUAUACAAACCAACCGCUUCGGCGACCCUUGGUGACUCAUAAUAACUUCGCGAAUCGUUUUCGGACGAUGAUUCAUUCAAAUUUCUUCCCUAUCAACUUUCGAUGUUUGGGUAUUGGCCAAACAUGGUUGCAACGGGUAACGGAGGGUUAGGGCUCGACCCCGGAGAAGGAGCCUGAGAAACGGCUACUACAUCCAAGGAAGGCAGCAGG